UACAGAGGUCCCGAGCGUUGUUCGGAUUCACUGGGCGUAAAGGGUGCGUAGGUGGUGAGGUAAGUCGGAUGUGAAAUCUCCGAGCUCAACUCGGAAAUGGCAUUGGAAACUGCCUCGCUAGAGUCCGGAAGAGGAGAGCGGAAUUCCCGGUGUAGCGGUGAAAUGCGCAGAUAUCGGGAGGAACACCAAUGGCGAAGGCAGCUCGCUGGGACGGUACUGACGCUGAGACGCGAAAGCGUGGGGAGCAAACAGGG
rnacentral:rRNA from 1 species